GUCUUGAUUAGCUAUAAGGAACAAUAAUAUAAAGCUGCAAUUCAAUGCAAUAUAGCAGAAUAGAAAUAAAUCUAAGUCAGUGUUUUGGUACUAUAGGUAAUGAUGGAUUUGUUAUUUAUAUCUUUUUCUUCAGCAGAUAUAACUUCAUCUAUGUGUGAGCAAUUCUGGAGUGACACAAUAUUUUCCUUCUGACAUGUUCCGGAUGCUUGGUUCAGAAUAUCUGAUUUUGGUAUU
rnacentral:lncRNA from 1 species